AGUGAACGCUGGCGGUAGGCCUAACACAUGCAAGUCGAACGGCAGCACAGUAAGAGCUUGCUCUUACGGGUGGCGAGUGGCGGACGGGUGAGGAAUACAUCGGAAUCUACUUUUUCGUGGGUGAUAACGUAGGGAAACUUACGCUAAUACCGCAUACGACCUACGGGUGAAAGCAGGGGAUCUUCGGACCUUGCGCGAUUGAAUGAGCCGAUGUCGGAUUAGCUAGUUGGCGGGGUAAAGGCCCACCAAGGCGACGAUCCGUAGCUGGUCUGAGAGGAUGAUCAGCCACACUGGAACUGAGACACGGUCCAGACUCCUACGGGAGGCAGCAGUGGGGAAUAUUGGACAAUGGGCGCAAGCCUGAUCCAGCCAUACCGCGUGUGUGAAGAAGGCCUUCGGGUUGUAAAGCCCUUUUGUUGGGAAAGAAAAGCAGCAGGUUAAUACCCCGCUGUUCUGACGGUACCCAAAGAAUAAGCACCGGCUAACUUCGUG
rnacentral:rRNA from 1 species